rnacentral:rRNA from 1 species
CCUUUGUACACACCGCCCGUCGCUACUACCGAUUGAAUGGCUUAGUGAGGCCUCCGGAUUGGUUUAAAGAAGGGGGCAACUCCAUCUUGGAACCGAAAAGCUGGUCAAACUUGGUCAUUUAGAGG